rnacentral:rRNA from 1 species
AUUGAACGCUGGCGGCAUGCCUUACACAUGCAAGUCGAACGGUAACAGGUCUUCGGAUGCUGACGAGUGGCGAACGGGUGAGUAAUACAUCGGAACGUGCCUAGUAGUGGGGGAUAACUACUCGAAAGAGUGGCUAAUACCGCAUGAGAUCUACGGAUGAAAGCAGGGGAUCGCAAGACCUUGUGCUACUAGAGCGGCCGAUGGCAGAUUAGGUAGUUGGUGGGAUAAAAGCUUACCAAGCCGACGAUCUGUAGCUGGUCUGAGAGGACGAUCAGCCACACUGGGACUGAGACACGGCCCAGACUCCUACGGGCGGAAGCAGUGGGGAAUUUUGGACAAUGGGCGCAAGCCUGAUCCAGCAAUGCCGCGUGCAGGAUGAAGGCCGUCGGGUUGUAAACUGCUUUUGUACGGAACGAAAAGCCCUGGGUUAAUACCCUGGGGUCAUGACGGUACCGUAAGAAUAAGCACCGGCUAACUACGUGCCAGCCGCCGCGGUAACAC